GUGGGGAAUUUUGGACAAUGGGCGCAAGCCUGAUCCAGCCAUGCCGCGUGCAGGAUGAAGGCCUUCGGGUUGUAAACUGCUUUUGUACGGAACGAAAAGACUCUGGUUAAUACCUGGGGUCCAUGACGGUACCGUAAGAAUAAGCACCGGCUAACUACGUGCCAGCAGCCGCGGUAAUACGUAGGGUGCGAGCGUUAAUCGGAAUUACUGGGCGUAAAGCGUGCGCAGGCGGUUAUGUAAGACAGAUGUGAAAUCCCCGGGCUCAACCUGGGAACUGCAUUUGUGACUGCAUAGCUAGAGUACGGCAGAGGGGGAUGGAAUUCCGCGUGUAGCAGUGAAAUGCGUAGAUAUGCGGAGGAACACCGAUGGCGAAGGCAAUCCCCUGGGCCUGUACUGACGCUCAUGCACGAAAGCGUGGGGAGCAAACAGGAUUAGAUACCCGAGUAGUCC
rnacentral:rRNA from 1 species